rnacentral:rRNA from 1 species
UACGUAGGGUGCGAGCGUUAAUCGGAAUUACUGGGCGUAAAGGGUGCGCAGGCGGUCCCGCAAGUCAGGCGUGAAAUCCCCGGGCUUAACCUGGGAAUGGCACUUGAAACUACGGGACUGGAGUGUGGCAGAGGGAGGUGGAAUUCCACGUGUAGCGGUGAAAUGCGCAGAUAUCAGGAGGAACACCGGUGGCGAAGGCGGGUCUCUGGGCGAUACUGACGCUGAGGAGCGAAAGCGUGGGGAGCGAAACAGG